CCCGCCCUGCCCGCGGGGGACCCCUCGGCGCCCCCUCCUGAGCGGGCCCCGACGCGCCCGGAGCGCAGAGGCAGGCGUGGGGCGCCCCUGGCCGCUCCUCCCCGCGACCCCGCAACUCUGCAGACGCGGUGGGAGUUGAUCCUGCCAGGCUAGACUUUGCAGGGCAGCCCGGCCCGGAAAACACCCAGGCGCCGAGACGGAGAAGGGCGACGGCUUUAUUUUACACUACCAGAAGUGAGUGGUUGCCGGGCGAGAGGGUUGCGUAUCAGCUCUUCGUUCUCAACACCAACAAGCACCUGCUUGGCCCACCCAAGGGGUCUUGAAUUCCCCCGCUCCCCUCCCCCCGCUGCCUUUCAGCGGGCUGCCUUGGGUCUGUGCCGAGGAAUAAGCCCCAACAUUAGCAACUGAAGAAGAACACGGAGAUUCUUCUACGCUCGCCUUCCUUGUCCUCUCACUUUGAAGCAUUGGCAACAAUUUUCACAAAGUUGUUUUUGCAGAAAAUGUUGACCUUUA